UACGUAGGGUGCGAGCGUUAAUCGGAAUUACUGGGCGUAAAGCGUGCGUAGGCGGUUGGCAAAGUCAGCUGUGAAAGCCCCGGGCUCAACCUGGGAAUGGCGGUUGAAACUAGUCGACUCGAAUCUGGCAGAGGGGGGUGGAAUUCCGACGUGUAGCAGUGAAAUGCGUAGAGAUGUGGAGGAACACCGAUGGCGAAGGCAGCCCCCUGGGCUGAGAUUGACGCUCAGGCACGAAAGCGUGGGGAGCAAACAGG
rnacentral:rRNA from 1 species